rnacentral:rRNA from 1 species
AGGCGGCCAUUUAAGUCAAAUGUGAAAUCCCCGAGCUUAACUUGGGAAUCGCAUUCGAUACUGGAUGGCUAGAGUAUGGGAGAGGAUGGUAGAAUUCCAGGUGUAGCGGUGAAAUGCGUAGAGAUCUGGAGGAAUACCGAUGGCGAAGGCGGCCAUCUGGCCUAAUACUGACGCUGAGGUACGAAAGCAUGGGGAGCAAACAGGAUUAGAUACCCUGGUAGUCCAUGCCGUAAACGAUGUCUACUAGCCGUUGGGGCCUUUGAGGCUUUAGUGGCGCAGCUAACGCGAUAAGUAGACCGCCUGGGGAGUACGGUCGCAAGACUAAAACUCAAAUGAAUUGACGGGGGCCCGCACAAGCGGUGGAGCAUGUGGUUUAAUUCGAUGCAACGCGAAGAACCUUACCUGGCCUUGACAUACUAGAAACUUUCCAGAGAUGGAUUGGUGCCUUCGGGAAUCUAGAUACAGGUGCUGCAUGGCUGUCGUCAGCUCGUGUCGUGAGAUGUUGGGUUAAGUCCCGCAACGAGCGCAACCCUUUUCCUUACUUGCCAGCAUUUCGGAUGGGAACUUUAAGGAUGCUGCCAGUGACAAACUGGAGGAAGGCGGGGACGACGUCAAGUCAUCAUGGCCCUUACGGCCAGGGCUACACACGUGCUACAAUGGUCGGUACAAAGGGUUGCUACCUAGCGAUAGGAUGCUAAUCUCAAAAAGCCGAUCGUAGUCCGGAUUGGAGUCUGCAACUCGACUCCAUGAAGUCGGAAU